rnacentral:rRNA from 1 species
GACGAACGCUGGCGGCGUGCUUAACACAUGCAAGUCGAACGGAAAGUCCCUGCUUUUUUGGGGUGCUCGAGUUGCGAACUGGUGAGUAACCCUUGAGUACCCUGCCCUUGACUUUGGGAUAACUUCAUGAAACUUGGUCUCAUCCCGGCUAGGAGCUCCUGCUGCAUGGUGGGGGUUGGAAAGUUUCGGCGGUUGGUGAUGGACUCGCGGCUUAUCACCUUGUUGGUUGGGUAGUGGCUUACCAAGGCUUUCACGGAUAGCCGUCCGGCGCGGGUGACCGGCGACAAGGGGAAUGAGAAACGGGCCAGAGCCCUAAGGGAGGCAGGAGUGAGGAAUAUGGAACAAUGGGCGGAAGCCGGAAGCAGCAACGAGGAGUGCGGGAUGAGGGACGUAGGGUUGUAAACCGCUAACGCCUGUGACGAAGCAUGAGUGACGGUAAAGGGUAAAGAAGCACCGGCGAAAAACGUG